rnacentral:rRNA from 1 species
UACGUAGGGGCUAGCGUUGUCCGGAAUCAUUGGGCGUAAAGCGCGCGUAGGCGGCCCGGUAAGUCCGCUGUAAAAGUCAAAGGCUCAACCUUUGAAUGUCAGUGGAUACUGCCGGGCUAGAGUCCGGAAGAGGCGAGUGGAACUCCUGGUGUAGCGGUGGAAUGCGCAGAUAUCAGGAAGAACACCCGUGGCGAAGGCGGAUCUCUGGGCCUUGCCUGACGCUGAGGCGCGAAAGCUAGGGGAGCGAACAGG